rnacentral:tRNA from 1 species
UGGGUCUUUAGCUCAGUUGGUUAGAGCAUCCGGCUCAUAACCGGACGGUCCCGGGUUCAAGUCCCUGAAGACCCAU